CCCAGGCCUUGUACACACCGCCCGUCACAUCAUGAAAGCCGGUUGCACCGAAGUCGCCCCUCAAAAGGUGCCGAAGGUAUGGCUGGUGAUUGGGAUG
rnacentral:rRNA from 1 species